CCUACGGGAGGCAGCAGUAGGGAAUCUUCCACAAUGGGCGAAAGCCUGAUGGAGCAACGCCGCGUGGGUGAAGAAGGUCUUCGGAUCGUAAAACCCUGUUGUUAGAGAAGAAAGAGCGUGAGAGUAACUGUUCACGUUUCGACGGUAUCUAACCAGAAAGCCACGGCUAACUACGUGCCAGCAGCCGCGGUAAUACGUAGGUGGCAAGCGUUAUCCGGAUUUAUUUGGCGUAAAGGGAACGCAGGCGGUCUUUUAAGUCUGAUGUGAAAGCCUUCGGCUUAACCGGAGUAGUGCAUUGGAAACUGGGAGACUUGAGUGCAGAAGAGGAGAGGGGAACUACAUGUGUAGCGGUGAAAUGCGUAGAUAUAUGGAAGAACACCAGUGGCGAAAGCGGCUCUCUGGUCUGUAACUGACGCUGAGGUUCGAAAGCGUGGGUAGCAAACAGGAUUAGAUACCCGAGUAGUC
rnacentral:rRNA from 1 species